UACGUAGGGUGCAAGCGUUGUCCGGAAUUAUUGGGCGUAAAGAGCUUGUAGGCGGUUUGUCGCGUCUGCUGUGAAAUUUCGGGGCUCAACCCCGAACUUGCAGUGGGUACGGGCAGACUAGAGUGUGGUAGGGGAGACUGGAAUUCCUGGUGUAGCGGUGGAAUGCGCAGAUAUCAGGAGGAACACCGAUGGCGAAGGCAGGUCUCUGGGCCACUACUGACGCUGAGAAGCGAAAGCGUGGGGAGCAAACAGG
rnacentral:rRNA from 1 species